GAGAGGUCGGUGCUGUAUAAAUAUGUUCUACAAACACACCAAGCGCCACUCGCUCGCUGUUUAUUUAAUUGCGAUGAAAUUACUCGUUAUAUUGUUGUUGUUACAUACAACUUUUGCUGAUAAUAAUGUUCAGCAAACUUUUAAAUUGACUCCAUUAGCCAUGAAGUGUGGGUGCUUCGAAAUUCCAAUUCUAUCAGCGAGACAAAAAUCUCCGGCAGCCGGUUGUGGAUGCCAGACACUGAGAAAUGUAUAUGCACCAAUACAACGAGCCGUCAUUGGCAACACCUACAGGAAUAUGCCAUUGAAUGGAAGAAGAAAGUUUAACAAAUUUCCAAACCGAAAUCUAAUACCAAAUCGAAUGGCAAAUGGUUUGUCAAAUUACUAUCGACCAGCCAGUCGGAAACAUAUGAAGAAGUCAAAACAAAAUAUGCUUCGCAAUUACGAAUUAAAAAAUAUAAAAUCUCGUUUGGCAGGAUUGGCGAAUUUGGCACUUUCAACAGCAAACCUGCUAUCGAAUUUGCCAGUGCCUUCAACAAACCCAUACACAGUAAAUAAUCAUAAUGGCUAUCAUACACUGCCAGGGAAAGAUUUGCCAAAUGGCAUUCUGGGAUACCAAUUAAAUAACGCAGUCUGGUAGAACAAUUUUAUAUAGGCGUAAUUUUAAGUUAAACUUAUAAAAUAAAUUAUUUAUUUAUUUCAA